AGCGAACGCUGGCGGCAGGCUUAACACAUGCAAGUCGAACGCUCGUCUUCGGACGGGAGUGGCAGACGGGUGAGUAACACGUGGGAACAUACCCUUCGAUUCGGAACAACUCAGGGAAACUUGAGCUAAUACCGGAUACGCCUUACGGGAAGAUUAUCGUCGAAGGAUUGGCCCGCGUCUGAUUAGCUAGUUGGUGAGGUAACGGCUCACCAAGGCGACGAUCAGUAGCUGGCUGAGAGGAUGAUCAGCCACACUGGGACUGAGACACGGCCCAGACUCCUACGGGAGGCAGCAGUGGGGAAUAUUGGACAAUGGGCGAAAGCCUGAUCCAGCCAUGCCGCGUGAGUGAUGAAGGCCUUAGGGUUGUAAAGCUCUUUUGUGCGGGAAGAUAAUGACGGUACCGCAAGAAUAA
rnacentral:rRNA from 1 species